CGACUUGGAGGUUGUUCCCUUGAGGAGUGGCUUCCGGAGCUAACGCGUUAAGUCGACCGCCUGGGGAGUACGGCCGCAAGGUUAAAACUCAAAUGAAUUGACGGGGGCCCGCACAAGCGGUGGAGCAUGUGGUUUAAUUCGUUGCAACGCGAAGAACCUUACCUACUCUUGACAUCCACGGAAUUCGGCAGAGAUGCCUUAGUGCCUUCGGGAACCGUGAGACAGGUGCUGCAUGGCUGUCGUCAGCUCGUGUUGUGAAAUGUUGGGUUAAGUCCCGCAACGAGCGCAACCCUUAUCCUCUGUUGCCAGCGAGUCAUGUCGGGAACUCAAAGGAGACUGCCGGUGAUAAACCGGAGGAAGGUGGGGAUGACGUCAAGUCAUCAUGGCCCUUACGAGUAGGGCUACACACGUGCUACAAUGGCGCAUACAAAGAGAAGCGACCUCGCGAGAGCAAGCGGACCUCACAAAGUGCGUCGUAGUCCGGAUCGGAGUCUGCAACUCGACUCCGUGAAGUCGGAAUCGCUAGUAAUCGUGGAUCAGAAUGCCACGGUGAAUACGUUCCCGGGCCUUGUACACACCGCCCGUCACACCAUGGGGGUGGGUUGCAAAAGAGGUAGGUAGCUUAACCUUCGGGAGGGCGCUUACCACUUUGUGAUUCAUGACUGGGGUGAAGUCGUAACAAGGUACC
rnacentral:rRNA from 1 species